rnacentral:tRNA from 2 species
GCCACGUUAGCUCAGUUGGUAGAGCACAUCACUCGUAAUGAUGGGGUCAUCGGUUCAAGUCCGAUACGUGGCU